UUUCUUUGGAGAGUUUGAUCCUGGCUCAGGACGAACGCUGGCGGCGUGCCUAAUACAUGCAAGUCGAGCGGACCAAAUC
rnacentral:rRNA from 1 species